rnacentral:rRNA from 1 species
GACGAACGCUGGCGGCGUGCUUAACACAUGCAAGUCGAACGGAAAGGCCCUGCUUUUGUGGGGUGCUCGAGUGGCGAACGGGUGAGUAACACGUGAGUAACCUGCCCUUGACUUUGGGAUAACUUCAGGAAACUGGGGCUAAUACCGGAUAGGAGCUCCUGCUGCAUGGUGGGGGUUGGAAAGUUUCGGCGGUUGGGGAUGGACUCGCGGCUUAUCAGCUUGUUGGUGGGGUAGUGGCUUACCAAGGCUUUGACGGGUAGCCGGCCUGUGAGGGUGACCGGCCACAUUGGGACUGAGAUACGGCCCAGACUCCUACGGGAGGCAGCGGUGGGGAAUAUUGCACAAUGGGCGGAAGCCUGAUGCAGCAACGCCGCGUGCGGGAUGACGGCCUUCGGGUUGUAAACCGCUUUCGCCUGUGACGAGGCGUGAGUGACGGUAAUGGGUAAAGAAGCACCGGCUAACUACGUG